CCUACGGGUAGCUGCAGUGAGGAAUAUUGGUCAAUGGCCGGAAGGCUGAACCAGCCAUGCCGCGUGAAGGUCAGUGCCCUAUGGGCGUUAAACUUCUUUUGUGCGGGAGCAAUAAUGGUCACGUGUGGCCAGACGAGAGUACCGUACGAAUAAGCAUCGGCUAACUCCGGGCCAGCAGCCGCGGUAAUACGGGGGAUGCAAGCGUUAUCCUGAUUUAGUGGGAUUAAAGGGGGCGUAGGCUGUGAGGUAAGUCAGCGGUGAAAUGCCCCCGAUCAACGGGGUGAAGUGCCAUUGAUACUGCCGUGCUGGAAUGCGGAUGCCGUGGGAGGAAUGUGUGGUGUAGCGGUGAAAUGCAUAGAUAUCACACAGAACACCGAUUGCGAAGGCAUCUCACGAAUCCGCGAUUGACGCUGAUGCACGAAAGCGUGGGUAUCAAACAGGAUUAGAUACCCCUGUAGUC
rnacentral:rRNA from 1 species